UACCAUAUUAUAAGACAUACCAAAUGGAAGAAAUAUAUAUAUAUGUAUGUAUAUAUGGCUCUUUUUUGUGCCAUUUCAAUCAUUUCAGCUCACUGUAACUUUCUGUAGUUCAAGCUUAUGCAUUUGUUCGAUGAUCGCUUCUAGUUUUCGUCAUUAAAAUUGGUCUAUCACUGCUAUCUGUAGAUUUUCGAUUAUGAGAUUCUGUUUCUACAGCACCUGCCUGAUUCUUUCUCCGUCUUCGUCCCUCUCGGGGUAUUGGAUAUUCCUCAGAUUCAAGCAUUCGAACUACUUGACUCAUUGUUGGCCUCUUAUCUGAAUCUGGAUCAAGA
rnacentral:misc_RNA from 1 species